GGAUUAGUCUGUGUGAGGGUGGAGGUUCCUGUAGAGCAUCGACAGAAAUCUCACACAUCACACUUUCCACUCAAUUUCAUUAGCUACAGUCCUGAGACUCCAAUUUUCCUUCAGAUUCAUAUAAUCAGCACUCAGAGGACCCCAGGAUGUUCUCCAUGUUCCUCAUCAUGUGUCUGAUGUUCUCUGGAGCUGCUUCACACCACGGGCGGAAAUCGUCCUACAGCGAUGAGCAGCCGACCGGGAACGACUUCCUGUGGAAACUCUUCCCGUGGAUCAUUCCUGGCCUCAUCCCUGCUCCAGGCCCCGCCCCCGGACCCGGACCCAUACCCCCUGUUACCAACGGAAACCGUGGAGACAGCGGCUAAUACCUGCCUGGCCUCGGGUCUGUCCUGAACCCAUCACAGGGAAAAACUCUGAGCUCAUAGUCAAGAAGAUCAAACCACAUUAUUUAGGGACAAAUGCAGACGAUACGAUGAGGAAGUGUGGAAGCCUGAAGACUUCAGAACCUCCAG